rnacentral:lncRNA from 1 species
GUACAUGUAUGCCCUGCUGACUGCAAAUUUUCAGGUCGAUUGGACUUGUAGUUUCAGAGAAUAUGUGGAUUUUUUUUCAGAAGAGACGUAAGAACAAUAAUAAAAUAAAAAUUUUCUUGAAUAAUUGAGAGUUUGUUCCUUCAAUAAACUGUCAUAAAUAAACAGUCAUACAUAUUGAUUGAUUGAUUAGUUGGUUGAUUGAUUGAUUGGUUGGUUGGUUGGUUGGUUUGUUGGUUGGUUGGUUGAUUAAACACGUUUGAUAGGGUCACUUAGAACAAGGGGAAAAAGACCUCAAGAGACCUUGCAUCCCGUAUUAAACGCAUGACACGGAAACAUACAUUAAGUGAUUGAUUGGUUGGUUGGUUGGUUGGUUAAACACGUUGGUUAAACAUGUUGGUUUAACACGUUGGUUAAACACGUUGGCUGGUUAAACACGUUUGAUAGGCUCAAUUUAAACAAGCGAAAAAAAAACAUCUUGGAUCCCGUAUUUAACACAUGAAACGGAAACAUGCAUUGAUUGAUUGAUUGAUUGAUUGGUUGGUUGGUUGGUUGGUUGGUUAAACACGUUGGUUAAACAUGUUGGUUAAACACGUUGGCUGGUUAAACACGUUGGCUGGUUAAACACGUUUGAUAGGCUCAAUUUAAACAAGCGAAAAAAAAAAAACAUCUUGGAUCCCGUAUUUAACACAUGAAACGGAAACAUGCAUUGAUUGAUUGAUUGGUUGGUUGGUUGGUUGGUUGGUUGGUUGGUUGGUGGUUGGUUAAACACGUUGGUUAAACACGUUGGUUAAACACGUUGGCUGGUUAAACACGUUAGAUAGGCUCAAUUUAAACAAGCGAAAAAAAACCAUCUUGGAUCCCGUAUUUAACACAUGAAACGGAAACAUGCAUUGAUUGAUUGAUUGAUUGAUUGGUUGGUUGGUUGGUUGGUUGGUUGGUUGGUUGGUUAAACACGUUGGUUAAACACGUUGGUUAAACACGUUGGUUAAACACGUUGGCUGGUUAAACACGUUAGAUAGGCUCAAUUUAAACAAGCGAAAAAAAAAAACAUCUUGGAUCCCGUAUUUAACACAUGAAACGGAAACAUGCAUUGAUUGAUUGAUUGGUUGGUUGGUUGGUUGGUUGGUAAGUUGGUUAAACACGUUGGUUAAACAUGUUGGUUAAACACGUUGGUUAAACACGUUGGCUGGUUAAACACGUUAGAUAGGCUCAAUUUAAACGAGCGAAAAAAAAACCAUCUUGGAUCCCGUAUUUAACACAUGAAACGGAAACAUGCAUUGAUUGAUUGAUUGGUUGGUUGGUUGGUUGGUUAAACAUGUUGGUUAAACACGUUGGUUAAACACGUUGGCUGGUUAAACACGUUAGAUAGGCUCAAUUUAAACGAGCGAAAAAAAACAUCUUGGAUCCCGUAUUUAACACAUGAAACGGAAACAUGCAUUGAUUGAUUGAUUGAUUGGUUGGUUGGUUGGUUGGUUGGUUGGUUGGUUGGUUUUGAUUGGUUGGUUAAACACGUUGGUUAAACAUGUUGGUUAAACACGUUAGUUAAACAUAUUUGUUAAACAUGUUGGUUAAACACGUUUGAUAGGCUCAAUUAAAACAAGCGAAAAAAAAGAGACGUUGAAUCCCGUAUCAAACACAUGAAACGGAAACAUUGAUUGAUUGAUUGAUUGAUUGAUUGAUUGAUUGAUUGAUUGAUUGGUUGGUUGGUUGGUUGGUUGGUUGGUUGGUUGGUUGGUUGGUUGGUUGGUUGGUUGGUUGGUUGAAAUUCAAACACACAUAAAACUGUUUAAAUAGUGCCAAAACCACAUAAUUUGAUGACCUUGACCUUUGACCUUGUGACCUUCGUCAAGGUCAUUGCUCCACAAGGUCAUUGCAAAAGACCCUAUGGGUCAAGGACCUUUUGUUUAAGAGUUUUGCCUAAAUAUGGCUUUUUUAAAAACCAUCGAUGGGAGUUAUGUCCCUUACAUGAUGGUAAAAUCAAUAUAGUCAUAAUGUAAAAAAGUUGCCCCUUGAAGUACUUAACAUUUUUCACUGCUUAAAUUUUCUGUAUCUAUAACCAUUCAAGAAUUAUAGGGAAAUCAAAGACAUAUGAAAAUCUAAAAUAUGACCUUGACCUUUGACCUUGACCUAAUUUUCUAAGUUAGGAAUCAGGGGACUCAAAUAAAAACAUUCCAGGGUUAUACGGUUAACGGUUUAUGAGUUUAAAAAACAUACCGACAAAUUUAUUCCGUAAAGAUAGAUAACUCCUAUAAAAUUUCAUCGAAUCGCUUCGAUCCAAAUUAGCCAAAAUUUUCUGAGGAUGUAACGAACAAUUUGUAAAAAGAAUUUUGUCGCUAUCUUUUUUUGUUACGAAGGAGAUGCACACACAUGAUAAACAGUGAAUAGGGAGAUAACUCUUACUUACAGAGAAAAUUGUUCGUCUUAGCAGGGUGAAAUUUAAAAGCGCAUAAACUAUACGAUACAAUAUGAGAAAUAUCUAAGCGACAUAUUGCGAAACAAA